AUAGUUUCCUUCCCUAAUGAGAACUCACAUGCCCUUUCGCACUGUUCCCAAAAGAAACAGGAGAGGAGGGGAAAGAUCAUGCUGAAAGAAACUCAGAAACUUCCUCUUGGACCUGAGAAAGCACCCACAGAAGACUAUCAGCCCAGAGAAGAGUCCGCUCUAUUCCUUUAGGCAGUGACAUCUGGAAGGCAAAGAGAUGAGGCCAGUGCGGUGAUGGAUGAGGAUCAGACUCUUGAACUCUGCAUGCUUACUAAGCUCCCCCAGGUCCUCUUCCAUUUAUUCAUCUGCCCUUCCAAGUAGCGGGUGCUCAGGCUCUCUUGUCUUCAUCAAGUGGUCUAUCUGGGAUAAUGCAGGCAUUGUAAUGACUAUUUCCUGAACCACGCCUCAGCUGACCAGAGGCAGCAGACAAAACCAGUUCCGAGAGCUUGU